rnacentral:rRNA from 1 species
UUAAGUCAGGCAACGAGCGAGACCCACGCCCACAGUUGCCAGCGUGCUCUCUGGAGUGACGGGUACACUGUGGGGACCGCCGCUGCUAAAGCGGAGGAAGGAAUGGGCAACGGUAGGUCAGUAUGCCCCGAAUGUCCCGGGCUACACGCGGGCUACAAUGGUUGGUACAAUGGGUAUCUACCCCGAAAGGGGAUGGAAAUCUCCUAAAGCCAAUCUUAGUUCGGAUUGAGGGCUGCAACUCGCCCUCAUGAAGCUGGAAUCCGUAGUAAUCGCGUUUCAAUAGAACGCGGUGAAUACGUCCCUGCUCCUUGCACA